rnacentral:rRNA from 1 species
UGUGCCAGGCCACGCGGUUAUACAAAAAAUGCAAUUAAAUUUAUUUUUUAAAAGUUAAAUUUUUAAAUUUAAUGUAAAAAUAAUUUUAUUAAGUGAAAUUUUAUAAUUAUUUUAAUUUAAAUUAAAUUAAUUGAAGCUUGAAAAUUUUAAAUUUAAACUAGGAUUAGAUACCCUAUUAUUUAAAAUGUAUUAAUUCAAAUUAGAGUAGUAAUAGCUAUGAUCUUUAAACUUAAAAAAUUUGGCGGUAUUUUAAUCUAUUUAGAGGAACCUGUUUUAUAAUCGAUAAUCCACGUUGGACCUUACUUAAUUUUGUUUUUCAAUUUGUAUACCGCCGUUAUUAGAAUAUUUUAUAAGAAUAAUAAUUUUCAAUAAUUUUUAUAAAAAAUAAUGUCAGGUCAAGGUGCAGUUUAUAAUUAAGCAAAUAAUGGGUUACAAUAAAUUUAUUUUUGGAUAUAAUAUUUAAAUAUAUUAUUAAAAUUGGAUUUAAUAGUAAAUUUUUAUAGAUAAAAAAAUUGAUUAUAGUUCUAAAAUAUGCACACAUCGCCCGUCGCUCUUAUUUUAAAAUAAGAUAAGUCGUAACAUAGUAGAUGUACUGGAAAGUGUAUCUAGAAUGA